GAAGCCAUAAGAAAGAAGUGGGUAUCGUGAAUGCAUAGCCCCUCAUAUGCUCACUUUCUCUGCUAAUGUAACCCCUAUGGGUUAUAUUGGUUUGGUCCAGUGGGUGGAGAAACCUUAUGGAAGGAUUGUAUUAAGGAGUUGAGUACAAACCGUGAGGAAGCUGAAGAGAAAAGGAGCUAUUAAUGCCAGGGAGUAAGGACUAGGCCCUUGUCACCUUGAAUUAGGCACUUCACCAUUGCACUUUUUUAAGUGUGAAUAAACAGCAAGAGUUAGAGAUAAUGGACCAUUCAAAAUCCAUCAUCUGAAGUUUUCAGAAAUACUGUUUUCAAGCUCACCUGUGGAUCAAGGUUCAGCCCUGUCUCAAACUAAACCUCAAUUUUGUCCAACCUAAUCGGAUGCCAGGAGCCUACUCAUUUGGGAGAGUACUCCUCUCACACCAUUGAAGUGGGUAAAGUUAUAAAUUCUAAAGAGAAAGUAAAAGCCAAAUAGCAGGCUUCCAGCAGCGAUGAUGCCAAGACUAUGCCUCUUGCCUCAGCAGCAUCUUAUAGGAAUACCAAGUACAGGUAUCAGCAAAGAGCUCCAAAUGGGAUUCAACUGCAUGAGCAACUUUCCCUUACUUCCUUAAUACUCCUGACCUUUGCUCCAAGCAAAACUGCAGGCAGUGGAGAAUGCACAUGACUCCUCCCUUCCCACAAGGAAAAUGAAAGGCCAUUGCCAUAUCCCAGUCUGCUAUCUCCUGUCAUCCCAAUUACUGAACCAUACUGAAACUUUCUCAAAAACCAUGCCUGAUUACAUUUCUACAUGUUAAUAGGUAUAAUAGAUAGAUAUAACACAAAUAAGCCGCCACCUCUUCCUCCUCACAUGCUUCAUGUUUUCCUCUUCAUUACAUCCAUACAGCUAGUCUGCAGCUAACAAAAUUUAAGAUUUACCUUGGCCCAGAUAACCUUUCUGAAUCAAGACUUAAAAGCAUCAUUAUUUAGCAUUAUUUUUGUGGACAAGGGAUAAUGCUGAACUGCCUAA